UUUCGCAAUGCCCGAAAGGGUGACGAAGCGACGCCGCGUGUGGGAAGAAGGCCUUCGGGUUGUAAACCACUGUCGGGAGUUAAGAAGUGUAGUGAUGUUAAUAGCAUCGCUACUUGACUAAGGCUCCGGAGGAAGCCACGGCUAACUCUGUGCCAGCAGCCGCGGUAAUACAGAGGCGGCAAGCGUUGUUCGGAAUUAUUGGGCGUAAAGAGCACGUAGGCGGCUAUGUAAGUCGGUUGUGAAAGCCUUCCGCUCAACGGGAGAACAGCAUCCGAUACUGCAUGGCUUGAGUGCGGGAGGGGAGAGUGGAACUUCUGGUGGAGCGGUGAAAUGCGUAGAUAUCAGAAGGAACGCCGGCGGCGAAAGCGGCUCUCUGGCCCAUAACUGACGCUGAGUGUGCGAAAGCUAGGGGAGCAAACGGGAUUAGAUACCCCGGUAGUCCUAGCCGUAAACGAUGGGCACUAAGUAGAGGGGUUUUA
rnacentral:rRNA from 1 species